CAUGAAGCUGGAAUUGCUAGUAAUGGCAGGUCAGCAUACUGCCGUGAAUACGUUCCCGGGCCUUGUACACACCGCCCGUCACACCAUGAGAGUUGGAAAUACCCGAAGCCUGUGAGCUAACUUUUAGAGGCAGCAGUCGAAGGUAGAGCCAAUGAUUGGGGUGAAGUCGUAACAAGGUAAC
rnacentral:rRNA from 1 species